AGAAAGGGGCUCCCACAGUGCAGUGGGGGGCUGAAGGGCUCCUCAAAUGCCACCAAAGUGGGAGCCCAGGCAGGGGAGGUGCCGAGAGCAAGCGAGGGCUCUGAGGACUGCCAGCAUGCUGUCACCUCUCAGCAGGCUGGAUUGGAUUUGGCACUUCUUUACUGAAGGCUGGAGUGCAAUGGUGUGAUCUCAGCUCAUCAAGUUCAAGAGACUCUAAUGCCUCAGCCUCCCAAGUAGCAGGGGUUACAGAUUCUUUAAUCUCCAGCUCAGCUCCAACAAUUCAACGCUGUUCUUUCUGAAAAAGUACACAUCGUGCCUUCUCUACUUCGCUCUUGGAACAUAAUUUCUCAUGGCAGGUAUGUGUGAUUUCAGUCACUAAAUUAAAAAUAACCAGAAAAGCUAUUUCUUGGAUUGGCUGAUUUUGGGGUAAUGCUUUAAGAGAAAAGGACAUGAUUAACAGUGGAUGUUUUUAGGAUUUUCAUGCAUUAGCACUUUCCACAUUCAUUAUAUUUUCCUGAUUCUUCAUUGUAUAACUUAGACAUGAUUUCAUGAAGUUUUUUUCACAGGUUUGAAGAGUGGUUUCUGACAGGGCUACCUUUAAAUUCUGAGUGAGAACUGAACUUUAGCCUGGUUAAAUUGUGAGCAACAGUGUUCUAGUAUAGCAAUAGAAAAUGCCAAAUAUUAAUGACACAAUGCUGAAAAGUUUUUAAUUGACUAUUUAUGUUGUGACAUCCAAAAAUUACACAAAUGAACAGUUUGACACAUUGUACUGUUGUUAAUGACAUCACUCUUCGAGAGUGUGUUCACGUUAGCACAGAAUCUCCUAAUGUUGAAAUGUUUUAGGUGAAAGGCCUAAAAGCAAAUAAUUUUGAGUAUGAACAAAUGGAAUGUUCUAGGGGAAAAAGGAUUGUUUAUGUAUGUUCAAUAUACUGUGAAAUGAAGCCAGGCCUCAAAGUUGUUACCCAUCAAUUUGUUAUCAGUUAUCACACCAAGUCCAGAAUGUUCCUAUGUCUUCUUUUCCCUAUAAUAUCUCUACGAACCAAUGAGCAGCUAGACAUUUAUCAGAGCAAAACCUGCACUGAGAUGAGGAGAGGGCAUACUCUCAAUUAGUAUUAUUGUGACAAUGGUAGAGUAUGUUGAAUGAAAGAUUCCUGAGCUAGACACACUUUCAUGUGAUUUCUGACUUGGAUACUUACUUGCUUUGAUACCUUGAGAAAAUAACAUUAUUAUUGGACCUUAUGUUUUCUCAUCUAUGUAAUGAGAACCAUACUAUCUAUCUUGUGAUUUUGUUGAGAGAAUAAAAAUAAAUGCCUGUUAUGUAAGUCCAUAAAACACAACGUGGUGCUUGUUAAUAUCUUCUACCUCCAGAUCUUUAAGCACCUCUGCCAAUUUAAAAUAAAUGGUAAAUUCACUUUACUGCAACAGAGCUGGUAGAGAAGAAAAUGUUUGAAUAAUCUUCCUGAAGAAUAAGAUACAUCACAUAAAAAUGUUGGUAUUGGGUGAAGUCCCGAUUGAAAAGUCUUCAGUGUUUUAUUGGCAAGAUGACUCCGUUAUCGAAUGAAAGAAUGUUGUGGAUUCUCCGUCACUAGUUUCUGCUUUUAAGAACUCAGCUCCUGAGUUUGCUCUUUAAGUCAUUACUCUGUCUGUCUUUCUCUACAGUGUUUAAGACCACUCUGUGGAGGUUAAUUUCUGGGACCUUAGGGAUAAUAUGCCUUUCGUUGAUGGCUACGUUGGGAAUUUUGUUGAAAAAUUGUAAGUUUUUCUAAGCAAGUCUCCAUAAAAAUCAAAACUGUGAAGACAUCAUUUAAUAAUAAAGGCUUCAUCUUGCUAAUGUGUAAUAUUUUAGUAUUUCAUAAACCCAUACCUAAUUAAACAAAUUUCUAAUCAUUUCUUAUAGCUUUUACUAAACUGAGUAUUGAGCCAGCAUUUACUCCAGGACCCAACAUAGAACUCCAGAAAGACUCUGACUGCUGUUCUUGCCAAGAAAAAUGGGUUGGGUACCGGUGCAACUGUUACUUCAUUUCCAGUGAACAGAAAACUUGGAACGAAAGUAGGCAUCUCUGUGCUUCUCAGAAAUCCAGCCUGCUUCAGCUUCAAAACACAGAUGAACUGGAUUUUAUGAGCUCCAGUCAACAAUUUUACUGGAUUGGACUCUCUUACAGUGAGGAGCACACCGCCUGGUUGUGGGAGAAUGGCUCUGCACUCUCCCAGUAUCUAUUUCCAUCAUUUGAAACUUUUAAUCCAAAGAACUGCAUAGCGUAUAAUCCAAAUGGAAAUGCUUUAGAUGAAUCCUGUGAAGAUAAAAAUCGUUAUAUCUGUAAGCAACAGCUCAUUUAAAUGUUUCUUGGGGCAGAGAAGGUGGAGAGUAAAGACCCAACAUUACUAACAAUGAUACAGUUGCAUGUUAUGUUAUUACUAAUUGUCUACUUCUGGAGUCUAUAAAAUGUUUUCAAACAGUGUCAUAUACAAUUGUCAUGCAUGUGAAACAAUGUGUUUUAAAACUGAUGAAAUUCGUUCACCUACAUUUGAGAAUUAUAAAAUUAAUAUAAAGAA
rnacentral:sRNA from 1 species